rnacentral:rRNA from 1 species
UACGUAGGGGGCGAGCGUUGUCCGGAAUUAUUGGGCGUAAAGAGCUCGUAGGCGGUUCGGCAAGUCACGUGUGAAAUCUCCACGCUCAACGUGGAGGCGCCACGUGAGACUGCUGUGACUCGAGUCCGGUAGGGGAGCGUGGAAUUCCCGGUGUAGCGGUGAAAUGCGCAGAUAUCAGGAGGAACACCGAUGGCGAAGGCAGUGAUCUGGGCCGGUACUGACGCUGAGGAGCGAAAGCGUGGGUAGCAAACAGG